AUGUCUCCCAUAAAUCUAGAAAGCAAUUUCCAAAGAAUUAUGACAUCUCUGUCCUCGCAGAAGGUUCAUGAGGGUUUAGGAAACACUAUGUUAGCAGAUGUGUUCUCUGGCCCUGGUUCCUUUUGUUGUUGGUACACACACUUCUCACAUGUGAGGAGAUCAACUCUUACAGCUCCUGUGUGUGUGUGUGUGUGCGCUUGUGUGUUAUAUGUGUGUUUUGUGUGUGCGCACGCUUGUGUGUGUGCUUGUGUGCCUGUGUUUACAAACACAGAGAGGCCGGAAUGAAAUGCACUCAGUAGUAAGUAGGCAUUUGCUCAGGACCCCUUCUUUGUCAUCACACCCCUCUCUGCAAAAAUAGAGCCGCUGGCCAGCACCCCUAUUUAAGGCACCCUUGUAGUGAGUGAACUCUACGCUAGCUUCACACUCUUACCAGAGAUAUAAGUAACUGUUUAAUAGCCCAGGUCUCUUCAAUUUUCUUUCUUUUUUUUUCACCCUAUACCCUACAGACACGGUGAUAACAAUCUUAUUCCUCAAGCACCUACCUGAUCCUUUGCCAUCCCCAACAAUGAAAUGUUUUUAUAUCAACAUUUGCCUUUCUUGCUCUCUUUUUAAAAUCUAAUACCCCAAGCCCCCUUUAAAACCCUCUGUGCGUCAGUCUCGCAACACAGGCCAGAAAAGCGCCAGGUUCAUAGACUGCGCAGGACAGGAACAAAGCUGUCUGUGGAACCAUCUGCCUUUUUCUGAGCUGCAGAAAAAGAGAGGAUUUACAGGUUUAGAGGGAGAUUAUUUUUCACGGCUUCCAGGCUACUAAUAUGCUAUCCUUGUUUGCAAAAUUCCUCCCACAGAUUGAGCAAGUCGCUGUGACCUCUACAGAGAAUAAGUGCCCCUGAGAUGCACUCUCAUUUAGAAAGAUUCUAAAAACAAGAGUUUGGAACUGUCGGGUUUGCUCCAGCCAUGUGCUGUCCUAUGUCUGUGCUUCUCUCCCCUGUACUAGGAAGCUCCACCUUGAUUCCUUAUUUCCAGCAAAUAGAAGGACCGCUGCUGCCUUCCAUGAAAGGCGUUCUGCAUCAGAGAGGGGCACGGAGGAAAGGAAGUAAAACAAAAGGGAAGUCAAUUUGCAUUCAGGUGUUGGCAUUAAGUAUUAAUAGGGCUUGGGGUGAGGGUAGUUUCUCUUUUAUUCACGCUCAGGUUGCCAUGGCUGUCUGGGUUUGCGGGGAUGGCAGAGGGGGACGGUGAAAGGCAGGAAAAGGGCUGCUGAGACUUCGUGGAGCAGUUCACGGUCAGAGCCUCACUCUGUGCCCUGACACGAUGGCCCAGAUUGCCAAGAGCGAGUUCAAGGAACUGAAAGAUACAGAAGUUUCCAGCACAACCAGAGAACAUCUGAUUGACUUGGCUUUAACUGAUAGAUGCCCUUGUGCUUUAAAAACAAUAUCCUAGCCAGGCAUGGUGGCUUAUGCCAGUAAUCCUAGCCCUUUGGGAGGCUGAGGUGGGAGGAUCACUUGAGGCUGGGAGUUUGAGACCAGCCUGGGCAACAUACUGAGACACCCCCAUCUCUAAAAAUAAAAACAAACAAACAAAAAACA
rnacentral:lncRNA from 13 species